GUAGCUCUCUCUCGGGGAAGCUAGGAGCACUGCAGGAGUGUCUCAUAAAGCCGAGCUGGCCUUGGACUUGCUGUGUCACUGAGGAUGACUUGGAACGCCUGGUUCUCCUGCCUCCACCUUCCAAGUGCUGGGAUUACAGGCAUGUGCCACCAUGUCCCCGCUUAAAGUGUGUACAUUUGUGUGCUAAAUGCUCCUGUUUAAGGCCACCUCACUAAGAGAAUGAAACCACCCUCCUUCUGGGGGUCUGCGAAUGUAAAGCGAUGGUUGCCACGCAAGGUAGCUAUGUUUAUCUGACAGUUGUGGAUUUCAGACUAAAAGCUCUCAGACAUCUCCACCUCCCUCUUCAUUUUUCCAACUUUCAGUUUUGAUAAAGUCUAAACAUUGGAGAAUCUCUGAGCCAGAUGACUUCUAAGAUUCUUGCCAUCUUUGUGAUAAUAAAAUUCCCAGCUCAGCAGUGAUUAAGGCCUGGAGCUAAAUAGAGUUUAGAAUCUUCGAGCCAACUCCUUUCCGACAGAUCCUGGACAAAAA